CGUCUUGAAACACGGACCAAGGAGUCUAGCAUGCGCGCGAGUCAUUGGGAACUGAUAAACCCAGAGGCGCAAUGAAAGUGAACAGCGUCGCUUCGGUGACCGCAGGGAAGAUGGCGGCCGGCACGCCCGUCCGCCCGCAUUCCCGAGGCGUUUCGAGAAAUGCCCCCGUGCGAUUAUCGAGACGCACUGAGAGCGCGCACGCUGGGACCCGAAAGAUGGUGAACUAUGCCUGGUCAGGUCGAAGUCAG
rnacentral:rRNA from 1 species